rnacentral:lncRNA from 1 species
GCUAUUUUUACUAUAAAAACUUAAAAGUUACCGUCCUAGAGAAUUGCCCAUAAUCUUUUGCCCCCGUCAAGACAUUGAUGUACUUUGACUUUUGAGUAUAUGUCAGAUUGUCAGAUAAGGAGUGGGGUGUGUGUGCUGAGACUUGAGAGCAUUUGAGUUGAUUGUUGAUUAGUGAGACCACGGAGUGGAUUUAACUAUUUGGAAGUACUUUAGAUAAGUUUAUAAUUCUGUUUGAUCAAAACCAAUUUAUUGAUUAGUGAUUUAGUGAGAAGUGAUUCAUAUUUUCUCGUAAGUGAGAAUAAAUCAAGAGGAAGUUUUGCUGUAGUGAAUUAGGCUUACUUUAAUAAUAUGUUUUAUAAAAGUAAAUUUUUAUAUUUUGUAGUUUUAAGUAUGAGAUAUUGGAAGUUAAUUUUUGUUCGUUGUAAAAUUAACCAUAAAGUUUUUGUUUGAAUGCGAUGCGGUGAUCAGUUUCUAUUUUCUAAACAAUAGUAAGUUUAAAAAAUAUAUGGUUGUUUGCAUUGAAGUGUAAAUUUUAAAACAGUUGACUGAUGUCGGUUUCCGUCUUGUAGUUUGAUCCCAUGUGGAGGUAUGCCAUCAGGCUUAGGAUAGCAGUUUAUUUCUCUUUUGAAAGCGUUGUAUGAUAUCUAUGUCUUUGUCAAAGUAAAAGCGCGAUCAUGGUGUGGUUGUGAGUGAUAGUUUCCCUGAAAAGUGAAAUAUUUGUAAGCAUUUAGUUAGACAUAAACUUUAUGUUUAGUUGAUUACCUUCAUAUAACCUUGGAAUGAUACUUGUGAUGAUUACGAUUUGGUUUUUCCUGGUAGAUAUGCGAUUUAACUCCCUGAAAUUAGCCGGUUCAUUGUCCCAUAUAGUUAGACGGACCAAUUUGAAUCUACAAAA